rnacentral:rRNA from 1 species
GUCCACGCUGUAAACGAUGGAUACUAGGUGUAGGCGGUCAUUAACCCCGUCUGUGCCGAAGCUAACGCGUUAAGUAUCCCGCCUGGGGACUACGGCCGCAAGGUUAAAACUCAAAGGAAUUGACGGGGGCCCGCACAAGCAGCGGAGCGUGUGGUUUAAUUCGAUGAUACGCGAAGAACCUUACCUGGGUUUGACAUAGGGGUAGUAGCGAGGUGAAAGCCGAGCGACACUUCGGGGAGCCUCUACAGGUGCUGCAUGGCUGUAGU